rnacentral:lncRNA from 1 species
AUCAAUGCAAAUCCGGGCUAGAUUUGUUAAUGUAGAACGCAGCGGAAGUUUUCGGUUCGUACCUUUUUGCGGAAGCGAUUCGCGCAACAACGCGAUGAGCCCGGAUCGGAUUGAUUGAUUCACGUGUCCUCGGAUCGUCCUUGAAUGUUUUCUCAUGCUCCAAACUCGCGGUGGAUCGAACUACAAACGAGCGCGAUCACAAAUCCACCGUGCAAGUCCCUCUAGAAUAAUAGGUCAAUGGAGGAUGUGGUUUCUCUCUAAUAUUUUCUUAUUCUCUCUUUUUCCGUUCUUUCCGUAUAUGCCGUUAUGUGGGAUCGCCCGCAUAUUUAUAAGGAAUUCCAAAAUCCUAAUAGCGUUCGAGAUAAGGCCAAAUCGAUUAUUAUUUGUUAUCCUAAUAUGAUUAGAUUUAUCUCUAAUUAGCUUUCCAAUUUGAAAGCGAGAUUAAUCCUAAUCCAAUUAGAUAACAUAAUAUCCGUCGGAUCGAACCCGCUUAUGGGCGUACCCGAUUCGAUUUAACCGAAUGCCAACAGUUAACGUACGGUUUUGUUUGGUUGGGGAUUAAAUAAAAAUUAGUUAUUAUAAGAAUAGGUAUAAGUUCAGGUGUAGGAUUGAAAUAGAUCAAUUUUGUAUUUAAAUAAAAAUUAAGUUGUUUUUGGGAAUAACGUUUGGAUAGAUAAAAUGGAAUAAGAAUAAUAGUGAGUAGUUAUAAAUUAAAAAUACUAAUAUUGUCCAAAUUAUUAUAUUUAAAUUUAAAUUUUUUAUUUUAUAUUUCAAAUUUCAAAUUUAAAUAGAUAAAUUCUAAAAUAGAAAAAUUCAAAAUUAAAAUCUAAAUUUUUAAAUCUCAAAUUUAAAAAUCUACUAAGACCUAAAUAUAAAGCCCAAUCCAAUCAAAAAUAAAAAGUUACUCUACUCAACUCACCCCUCCCAGCCCAUUUGGCUCGAUUACAAACAGAAAAGAAAGAAAAAAAAAAUGAUCAUCAUCUUCCCUUCUUCCCUUACUCAAUUCACUGAAACCCUAGACGAAGAGCCCUUUGCUCUUCUCCUCCUUUGCCACUGCAGCCAACGAGGUAGAGUUCCGGCUGUUGCUAAAUGUUUAAACAUGUGUUGGUAAAUUAGCAACACUCUUUUUAGGUUAUACCGACACUCUUAAAUUGUCACUAUAGAUCUAGCGACCCCACAUAUAGCAAUACUUUUUAAAAGUGUCGAUAAUUUAGCCAGCAGCACUUUUUUUGACCUAUACCGAUAUUUAAAAGUAUCGCUAUAUACCGUUUUUAUUGUAGUAAGCCCAAGAACUCUUAACUCUCUUACCUCUUAGGCGUAGCUACCGCUCAAAAUAUUGUAGUCGGGUUAAGAGGUUUAGCUCUAUUAUAUCUCAUAUUUUAGAUUAUUCCAGAUCUUAGGAGUAUCGUAUCCUCUCGUUUUAAGCGCUAUUAGAGUACACGUAGUGGCACUCAAUUGGAUAAAAGUU